GUUGAAACACCAGUUCUUGUCUGAUCACCGAAGUUAAGCAAUGUUGAACCAGGUCAGUAUCUUGAUGGGUGACCACUUAGGAAUGCCAGGUGCAGUAA